rnacentral:rRNA from 1 species
AUUGAACGCUGGCGGCAGGCCUAACACAUGCAAGUCGAGCGGAUGAAGGGAGCUUGCUCCUGGAUUCAGCGGCGGACGGGUGAGUAAUGCCUAGGAAUCUGCCUGGUAGUGGGGGAUAACGUCCGGAAACGGGCGCUAAUACCGCAUACGUCCUGAGGGAGAAAGUGGGGGAUCUUCGGACCUCACGCUAUCAGAUGAGCCUAGGUCGGAUUAGCUAGUUGGUGGGGUAAAGGCCUACCAAGGCGACGAUCCGUAACUGGUCUGAGAGGAUGAUCAGUCACACUAGAACUGAGACACGGUCCAGACUCCUACGGGAGGCAGCAGUGGGGAAUAUUGGACAAUGGGCGCAAGCCUGAUCCAGCCAUGCCGCGUGUGUGAGGAAGGUCUUCGGAUUGUAAAGCACGUUAAGUUGGGAGGAAGGGCAGUAAGUUAAUACCUUGCUGUUUUGACGUUACCAACAGAAUAAGCACCGGCUAACUUCGUG